GACGUAGGGGGCGAGCGUUGUUCGGAAUCACUGGGCAUAAAGCGCACGUAGGCGGCUUUGUAAGUUAGAGGUGAAAGCCCGGGGCUCAACCCCGGAAUUGCCUUUAAGACUGCAUCGCUAGAAUUGUGGAGAGGUAAGUGGAAUUCCGAGUGUAGAGGUGAAAUUCGUAGAUAUUCGGAAGAACACCAGUGGCGAAGGCGACUUACUGGACACAUAUUGACGCUGAGGUGCGAAAGCGUGGGGAGCAAACAGG
rnacentral:rRNA from 1 species